UACGAAGGGUCCAAGCGUUAUCCGGAUUUAUUGGGUUUAAAGGGUGCGUAGGCGGCUUAUUAAGUCAGUGGUGAAAGCCUGUAGCUUAACUACAGAACUGCCAUUGAUACUGAUGAGCUUGAAUAUACUUGAGGUUGGCGGAAUGUGUCAUGUAGCGGUGAAAUGCUUAGAUAUGACACAGAACACCGAUUGCGAAAGGCAGCUAGCUAAAAGUACAAUUGACGCUGAUGCACGAAAAGCGUGGGGGAGCAAACAGG
rnacentral:rRNA from 1 species